GGGGGCGUUCUUGGAUUCGACGGGGAUGUUGAAGUUUGAGGUGCAUGUCAAGAUGGUCGAGAGUCUUGUAAAAACGCGGCAAAUUGUAUAGUUGCAAACGAUAACAACUACGCUUUAGCAGCUUAGUCUGCUAACUGAUCAUAAUACUGUGUUCGUUCGGUAUUAUCAUCAGUCAACUUAAACGAAAUAGUGAAAUAUCAUUUCUAAGGGGUAUUUUGCGAAACUUAACUUAGAACAGCUUUGCAUCUCCUGCCGGUCGGACGAUGUGAAGUUAAAUUAAAGAUACGGCUAAACAUGUAGUACCAAGAAUGGAUAGUUCUCGGACGCGGGUUCAAAUCCCGCCGCCUCCACCA
rnacentral:tmRNA from 1 species